UACGUAGGGUGCGAGCGUUACUCGGAAUUACUGGGCGUAAAGCGCGUGUAGGCUGCUCUGCAAGUCGGGUGUGAAAGCCCCGGGCUCAACCUGGGAAGUGCACUCGAAACUGCAGAGCUUGAGUCCUGGAGAGGAAGGCGGAAUUCUCGGUGUAGAGGUGAAAUUCGUAGAUAUCGAGAGGAACACCGGUGGCGAAGGCGGCUAUCUGGACCGACAUUGACGCUGAGGCGCGAAAGCGUGGGGAGCAAACAGG
rnacentral:rRNA from 1 species